rnacentral:rRNA from 1 species
ACACGGUCCAGACUCCUACGGGAGGCAGCAGUGGCGCAUAUUGGACCAUGGGCGAAAGCCUGAUCCAGCCAUGCCGCGUGUGUGCAGAAGGUCUUCGGAUUGUAAAGCACUUUAAGUUGGGAGGAAGGGCCGUUACCUAAUACGUGAUGGUUUUGACGUUACCGACAGAAUAAGCACCGGCUAACUCUGUGCCAGCAGCCGCGGUAAUACAGAGGGUGCAAGCGUUAAUCGGAAUUACUGGGCGUAAAGCGCGCGUAGGUGGUUCGUUAAGUUGGAUGUGAAAUCCCCGGGCUCAACCUGGGAACUGCAUUCAAAACUGUCGAGCUAGAGUAUGGUAGAGGGUGGUGGAAUUUCCUGUGUAGCGGUGAAAUGCGUAGAUAUAGGAAGGANACACCAGUGGCGAAGGCGACCACCUGGACUGAUACUGACACUGAGGUGCGAAAGCGUGGGGAGCAAACAGGAUUAGAUACCCGGCUGCUCACGCCCGGUAACGAGGUCAACUAGCCGUUGGGCAGCCUC